AGACCCUUGACACCUGAUUUAGGAUGCCCUGUGCAUAUUAUCAUGGAACGUUCGACUGGGAAGACUAUGGACUGCUACAUUGAAUUCCCAACUAAGGCCGAUGCGGAGUGUACGCUUGCUUGGGUCAACCGUAGUCUAGACACUUGCCAGACUCCAAAAUUGGGUAAUCGUCAUGUGGUCGUCAGAGCUAGCAAUCAGGACGAGUUGCUCAAAGAUCUCUUUCCGCGUGCCAAAAAUAUUGAUUGGAGAAACGGUAUUCCUCAUGUGAGGGCUGGAAUCGAGAAAUAUUGCUCUGGAUUUCAGGGUUUUUUGACU
rnacentral:sRNA from 1 species